rnacentral:rRNA from 1 species
CCUACGGGCGGCAGCAGUGGGGAAUAUUGGACAAAGGGCGAAAGCCUGAUCCAGCCAUGCCGCGUGUGUGAAGAAGGCCUUCGGGUUGUAAAGCACUUUCAGUGGGGAAGAAAGCCUUGGGGCUAAUACCCUCGAGGAAGGACAUCACCCACAGAAGAAGCACCGGCUAACUCCGUGCCAGCAGCCGCGGUAAUACGGAGGGUGCGAGCGUUAAUCGGAAUUACUGGGCGUAAAGCGCGCGUAGGCGGUCUGAUAAGCCGGUUGUGAAAGCCCCGGGCUCAACCUGGGAACGGCAUCCGGAACUGUCAGGCUAGAGUGCAGGAGAGGAAGGUAGAAUUCCCGGUGUAGCGGUGAAAUGCGUAGAGAUCGGGAGGAAUACCAGUGGCGAAGGCGGCCUUCUGGACUGACACUGACGCUGAGGUGCGAAAGCGUGGGUAGCAAACAGGAUUAGAUACCCUGGUAGUC